rnacentral:tRNA from 1 species
GGCCUAUUAGCUCAGUUGCUUUGAGCGUCGGGCUAAUAACGCUAAGGUCGCAGGUUCAAGACUAAGACCUGCAUGGGCCA